GGGAGGCAGCACACUGGGGUCAGGAGUGGAGAUACUUAGGCUCCCCAGAGAAAUUAGUCACAAGUCUUAUCCCUUCAUCUCCAUUUACAGCCAUUUAUUUGGGAGCAACAUACUUUAAAUGAGUGAUAAACAAAAUGUCUCCCCACAGCCCCCACCCCAGCAUGUGUUCUGAAGUUCACAGGAAGGCUUCUCCUCAUUUGCUUUGGGGCCCGCAGGCUGCCUGCUAACAGCUGGGUCUUCCCAUGAACAAAUUAGACAGUUAAUGUUCCAGGAUGAAGAGGGCUUCGGGGAACAGAAUCUGCCGUUUAUUUGACUUGCUUCAUUAGACACAGUGCCAUCAUACCAAAAUUAGAAAAAAGAAGGAACUCAGCGGAAAUCAGCUACACAAGAAGAACCUCUCAGUUCUGAGAAUUCACAUUAACCAGUGAUUAAGAAAUAUUAAAAAGGGCUGAUAGUCCACUACGUUAUCAAGUUCAAAGCCUAAGAAAUAUUGAACAUUUCCACACAUGAAUGUGGGUACUAUGUUUAAUUUGAGAAUGGCCAACUGUCCUCGAAGUCUCAAUCUCUUUGGAGCCUACCAGCUCCGAGAGAAGUUUGAGGAUGCUGCAAAACCCUCCCCUGCAAAUCCAUCUACUCCUCCCACUUCUAUCCUAAUGGGUAUAGUUCUUGGCUGUGCUGAGGAUCUGUAAGGCACCAGAUGUGAAAGUAAGGAAGAAAGAUGGAUGUGGAAGAAAGUCACUGCCCAGAGAAUAAGGAGACCUGGAUUCUAAUCUCAGCUCUGCCAUUAACUAGCUAUGAAACUAUGGCUCAAAAGGGAAUAAGAGAUCAAGGCAAGCAUGGACAUCUUGUACGUGGAAGUGCAGACCAGAACUUGUAUCACAGCCAGUCAUAUCUGGUGCUUUCCAUGCUACUUUUACAUACAUGCCAAGUGCUGUGUGUAACUGUGGGGUGGGCAAAAUUAGGAUUCCUGAAUCACUUCACUUUUUGUUGCCUUUCUCUUGGGAGAAUGGUUACCAUUGCAGAGAAGCAUAGUUAAAAUUGCUUUUGUGUUUCAUAAACGAAUUCAUACUUAGAUGUCAUUGACCAACAACUAAAUAGUAUAUCAGAGAUGAAAGGCAUCCUAGAGAUGACCAAAUCAAGCUCUUCAUUACUCAAAGGAGAAAAAAAUCCAGAAAGUGGAUGACAUAUGUUGAACUAGUGAUGGAAGUAGAACAGGGUAGUGUAUUUUCUGCCUCUUAAUUCUUCAUUUUUUACACUAAACCAGAUAUUAGGUAUAUGACUAGGAAGAUACGUGAGGUAAGGAGCAGAGGGUUUGGCUCCAAACUCAUCAUGUAGUCAUCCUCCUCCAAGCUCUGAGAGCUUCUCUCACAUGUUAAUUCAGAGGCAGUAACAAAAGAAUUAAUGCUCCUGAAGGUUUCUCAAUUUUAUCAUCUGGAAAGUGGAGUGAACCUUUGCAGAGUCCUUCUGAAGAGGGCUGACCUUGGACUGCACUAGGUUAUAUUCAUUUGCUAUUACUCAGCAAUAAAAAGUAAAUGCAACAAUAUAAAUGAAUCUUAAAAACAUAAUAUGGAAAGAAAGCAGCCAGACACAAAAGAAUACCUCCUGUUUGGUUUCAUUACCAUAAAACCUAGAACAGACAAAUGAAUAUACUAUGAUUUUAAAAAGAUCAUUAUGAUCAGAAAGCACUUGCCUGUUACAGGAAGGAGAUGGGGAUUGACUGGAAAGGGGCAUGAGAAAACUGUAUGAAAUAUUAUAUAUGGUUUAUAUCUUGUUUGGGGGUGGAUACAUAGCUGUGUAUAAUUGUCAACAGUCAUUGAACUGAGCACUUAAAAUCUCUGCAUUUUAGUGUAUGUAAAUUAAUUUUUAAAAUUAUUUUAAAAGAAAAGUAAAAGGAUAGAAAAAGAUAUACCAUGAAAACAGCAAUCAUACAGAGUUGGGGCAGCUAUACUAAUACUAGAUAAAAUAGUCUGUAAGACAAAAACUUAUUAGAGAUGAAGAGGGACAUUUUAAGUGAUGACAAUUUAUUCAAUAAGGAAGAUGUAACAAGAAUAACAAGUAUGUAUGUACCUAAUAACAAAAUCCCAAAAUACGUAAAGCAACAACUGACAAAAUUGAAGGGAAAGAUAGACAAUUCAACAAUAAUAGUUGAGGACUGGAAUACCUCACUUCCAACAAUAAAGAGAAAAACUGGGCAGAAAACCAACUGGGAUACAGAGACUUGAAAAACAUUGUAAACCAAGUAGAAUCAACACACAUCUAUAGAAAACUCCACCCAACAACAGCAGAAAAUACAUUCUUCUGAAGUGCAUACGGAACAUUCCACAGAAAUAUAUGAUGUGCUAGGCCAUAAAAUAAGCCACAAUAGAUAAUAAAAGACUGAAAUCAUGUAAAUUAGGCUCUAUGCCCACAGAUUUAGAAAUCAAUAACUAAAAGAAAUGUGGGGAAUACACAAAUAUGUGGAAAUUAAGCAACACGUUCAUAAAUAACCAAUAGGUCAAGGGAAAAAAAUAUCACAAGGAAAAUUAGAAGAUACUUGAGAUGAAUGAAAAUAAAAAUACAGCAUACAAAAAAAACCAUGGGAGGAAGUUAAAGCAGCAUUAGAGCUAAAUUUAUAGCAAUAAAUGCUUAUUUCUUUAAAAAAUAUCUCUAAUAAUCUAACCUUUCAAUUUAUGAAACUAUAAAAGAACAAAUGAAACUGAAAGCAAGCAAAAAGGAGAAAAUAAUAAAAUUUCAGUAGAAAUAAAUGAAAUAAAAAAUAAAAUACAUAAAGCAACAGUUGGUUCUUGAACAAAAUUGACAAAUCUUUAGCGAAACUUUAGCAAAAAAGAAGGAGGACUCAAAUUACUCACAUCAGGCAAGAAAGAAGAAACUUGACUACUAACUUUACAGAUAAAAAGAAUUCAAGGGGGAUAAAACGUAAAAAAAAAAAACCUCUAUUGCUAACAAAUUAAAUAAACUAUAUGAUAUGGACAAAUCCCUAGAAAGACACAAAUUAUUGAAACUAACUCAAGAAAUAGAAAAUCUAAAUAGACCUAUAACAGGUAAAAAGAUUGAAUUAGUAAAUAAAAACUUCCCACAAAGAAAGAUUCAGGCCUAGAUGGCUUCCACUGGUAAAUUCUCCCAAAUAUUUAAAGAAGAAUUAAUACCAAUUGUUUAUAAACUCUUUUAGAAAAUAGAAGAAAGGGGAACUCAUUCUAUGAGUUCACUAUUACCCUGAUACCAAUGCCAGACAAAGGCAUGAGAAAAAGAGAACUGCACACCUUUAUGCAUCCCUAUCCUUUAUGAAUAUAGAUGCAAAACUCCAAGAUGAAUCCUGAAACAAAUAAAAAAUUGUACCACAACUAAGAAAGAUUUCUUCCAAGAAUUCAAGAUUGGUUUAACAUCUGAAAAUCAAUUUAUAUAAUAUGCCACAACAAUAAAGAAAAAAAUCACAAUUACUUCAAUAGAUGCAUAAAAUAAUGGAUAAACUCCAACACUCAUGAUUAAACAAAAAAAGAAGAAAACGCUUAAACCAGGAACAAAAAUUAACUUCCUCAAACUACCAGAAACUUACAGCUAACAUCAUACUAAAUUGUAAAGAAUCAAAUGGUCUUCUUUCACUCUCAGAUGUGAAAAUCUCCUAUGUAGAAAAUCCCAAGGUAUCGACAAAAAACAAAAAAAAAAGCUAUUAGAACUAAUAAAUGGGUUCAGCAAGUUUGCUGGAUACAAGAUCAGUAUAGAAAAAUCGAUUGCAUUUCUAUAUAUUAACAAUGAAAAACCAAAAUAAAAUUAAGAAAAUUCUAUUUAUAAAUAACAUCAAAAGGAAUAAAAUUUUUAGGAAUAGAUUUAACAAUUUAAGUAUAAAAUGUAUAUGCUAAAAACUACAAAACACUGUUGAGUGAUACUGAAGAUUAAAAUAAAUGGAAAGAUACACCAUGCUUAUGAAUUGGAGGAUUUAAUAUCGUUAAGAUGGCAAUACUUCCCAUAUUAAUGUACAAACUUAAUGCAAUUCUUAACAAAACUCUUCUGGUGUUUUUACAGAAAUUCACAAGGUGACCCUAACAUGUAUAUAAAAAUGCAAGGGAUCCAGAAUCACUAUAACAAUCUUGAAAAAGAAUAACAAAGUUGAUGGAUUCACACUUCCCAAUUCCAGAACAUACUACAAAGCGACAGUAAUCAUAAUGGUGUGGUACUGGUAUAGGGAUAAACAUAUUAAUCAACAGAAUAGAAUUAAGAGUCCAGUAAAUCCUCACAUUUAUGUUCAAUCGAUUUUCAGUAAAUAGGCAAGACAAUUCAGUGGGCAAAGAAUAAUCUUUAACAAAUAGUGCUGGACAACUGAAUAUCACAUGCAAAAGAAUGAAUUUGCACCCUGACUUCACAAUAGACACAAAUUAACUCAAAGUGUAUUAUAGAUCUAAAUGUAAGAGCUAAAUUACAAAACUCUUUUCAAAACAACUACAAAAUUCAAUCUUCAUGAUCUCGGAUUAGGGAAUGACUCUUCAAAUUAGACACCUAAAGCACAGGUGAUAAAAGAUGGCUAGGUUGGACUUCAUCAAAAUCAAAAACUUUUCUGCUUCAAGGGAUAUUUUUAAGAAAGUAAAAAGAUAACCCUACAGACUGAGAGAAAAAUUUUGAAAAUUGCAUAUUUAGUAAGAUACUUACACCCAAAAUAUAUACAGAACUCUUACAACUCAAUAAAGACAAACAGCCCAUUUUUUUCCAUGAGCAAAUGAUUUAAAUAGAAAUUUCUCCAAAGAAGACAUAUGAAUGGCCAACCAAUAAGCACGUGAAAAAUGUCAAUAUCAAUAGCUAUCAGGGAAAUGCAAAUCAAAAUCACAAAGAAACCAGGGCAGAGUGCCAGAUGCUCCGUACCUUGAAAAGGUUCAAGGAAACUUGAAAGAUCAGAUGACAUUUUUAGUGUAAUCUACAAGUCACUCUUCAAAUGACUUGAAGAUGACUACCUGAAUAUAUACAAUAAAAGUUGGAAAUAUUCAUAGAUAAUAUAAAAUUGAGACAAAAAAGGUCUAGAAAGACUGCAAUGUCAAGAUAUGUAUCAUCAAUUCCUGUACGCUACAGUUAAAUUUUGUUCUGAGUUUUCUGGUGCCAAGAAAAUAGGAAAGGGGUGGGCAAUACAGUAAGAUACAAAGAAAGCUUUUAUUUCAUGACACUUAAUUCUAAAAGAAUAAUCAGGUGAUAUGAAGCCAAUUUCUACAGAUAUGGUCUCUGUCCUCCAAGAGCUCAUAACUCAGAGAAAAAUAAAUAUGCAAAUGAUUAAAAUCAGUGAGGUAACUGCUAUGAAGGACGUAUGUACAAGCUAUACUGGAGGCAUAAGAGAGAGAGUUACCAUUCAGAUGAGGUGGACUCAUGCUCUGAUGUGGUAACAUAUGAGGUAGAUUGGGUAGGAAGGUAAGGCCAGUAGAGGGUGGGAGAACAUUCCAAGCAUCUGCAGAGAUUAAAAUUACCUAAGACGUUUGAGAAAUUGUAAGUGGUCUGAUAUGGCUGCAGUACUGGAUGUGAAGAUAAAAUUAAUGAUAGCUGAGGGUGGCAGGAAAGCUGGGAUCUUGCCAUGUAUAGCCUUAUAUGUCAUGCCAAGGACUUUGGACUUUAACCUGUAGGCAAGGGGAACCAUUGACUGGCAAGCCCUGAGUAGAGAGUCUAGGCCUUAUAAUGGGAAGUUAGUUUCCAGAGAUAACCUAAAGAAUUCCUGCCUUUAGGUUUAAUUCCAAAAGGGUAGUAAUCCACAACCUAGCACUCCAUAACAGUGAUUUAUAUUGGAAUUACUCUCCAAAUUGGAAGAUAUGGUUAAUCUGGGAUUAUAGGACGUGUAAGCUCAAAGUAAUUUCCAUUGUAACUCGUAUAGCUUUCUACUCAGCCCAUGACAUUCCUACCUGGUUCCAGUUCUUGCAAUUCAAAGAGAACAGGUCAAUGUCAGUGUUAACAUGUGGGUAUGAAAACAGCAAGUACCCGCAUAUGAAUUGGAACUGGGCUCACUGAAGAAAGCAUGUAAUUGGAGUGGGAAUAAAAGCAUCCAACUAUUAUACUUGUGUGUGUACACACACACAUUAGAUAUACUGCUACAGAUAUAGAUAGAUGCCAGGUGUGCUGGUCACUUUGCGAAUCUCAUCACACUUUACCUUCAUGACAAUCCAGAAAGGUAAGUACUAAUCCCACUUCACAGAUCAAGACUAUUCUUACUUACAGAAGUUAACAGUGCUCUCUCACUGGCUGGAUUGGCAUGGAUGCCUAUUUUUGAUAGUAUUUCUAAUCCUUACCACUGAAAGCAUUGGAAUGACACUUCAUGUAUUUUUUUCAGUAGAGAAGUAAUAGAAACUAUUCCCCUUAAAUGGCAGAUGUGAUAUCUCAAGCACAAAAGCUUGGGUGACUCACUCAAGUCAAUAACAACUGUAGGACAGGAGCAUUUCCAGUUGGCCCCGUAUUCCUUCUACUUAGUCUUUUUUGUUCUCAUGUAAAUACAAAGUCAUAAAUUUGUGGGGGUUCAUAUUGGCUUUGUUCCUUUUCCCAUCUAGUUACCACAAGAGACCUUUCACUCUCCCUAGUGACACCAUUCAACCUCUACAUAACCCUACAACAAAUACCCACUUCACUACCAUAUCACAUGGCCAGACCAGUGGUCUUUUCCUUUAAUGUUACAUAGAAUAAUAUUAUUUCUCCAUCAAUUAACUCUGAUUGGAAUCAUGAUUAUCACUAGUUUUAUUCUUCAGGCUUGAUAGAGUACCAGCUGUGUCCAACAAAUGUAACAACAGUGGCUUCCAGCCAAGUGCAACUGAGGUUUUUACAAGAAUAGAUACUUCGUGUAUUCUAAUGACAAAAGCACAUAAAUGAGGACUAAUAUUCUGUCUGUGGCAGAGAGAAAAUCCUCUUGACUUUGAAGAGGUUCAAAGGCCCACACACACAGAAAACUGAGUGCUCUGUCAUGCUAUCUGGAUCAAGGGACUCCCCCAAGGGGCCGGCAUCCCGGCCUUAGAAAGAUGUCUGGGCCCUCAUCACUGAGGCCUUUGAAACCUUGUACCAGAAACCCCCAGGGGUGCCUCUCCAGCCUGCUCCCCUGGAACUUCUCAGGUACCCAUGACACAGCCAGAUAACCAGCCAGUUGUCACCUACCAUCUAGGACAGUCUCUUACUCCUACCUGUCCAUGCAUGCUCACUAAACUUGCCCUGCAGCAGAAGUAUGAAUGACUCUUUAUUAAAAUAGACAGGAAAAACAAUAGUGUCUCAUCUCACACCUGCACUAGGAAAAAAUCCUCUGUCUUCCUCUCUCCCUUCUGGGCCCACUCCCUCCAAGUCAUCUCAGAGCUGCUGCCAGCAGCAUGUAAAAUAUGAAUCUGACUUUUUGACCCAUCUGAUUAAAAACUGAAGUUGGAGCACCUCUGGCAGCAGAUUGAAGUCCAAACCCCUUCAAAAAGUAUUCAAGGGCCUUCACAACCUGAUUUCAACAAUAUCCUGAACAGUUUUCCCAUACACUGGAGCUCUGGCCUUCCCAGGUAACUCACUACCCCCUGAAGAUGUUGUACAUUUUCAUUAUAUAUGAUUUUUGUUACUAUUCAAUUUAUCUAGAAUACAUCACAUCCCCUAUCUCACCUCACUCACCUGACAAACUCCCAAUCAUUCUUUGAGAACUAGCUAAAAUGUUCUCACCCCUCUAAUGCUUUCCCUGACCAUCCCAGGCCAAAUUAACCAGUCCUUCCUCUGUGACUCUGCCUAUUGCACUUAUUCUGAUUUUCCCAGCUCAACAGAUGACAGAGCCAAGACUCAAACCCUGGCCUUCUGACUCCAAGUUCUAAGGUCUUUACUUAACCCCUUGCCUACUGUGCAAUAUUACAAAUGGAAUCAUGCGUCAAUUCUGAAUCCCGACUGGCAGGCCAAUUGUGGGUAGUCAGUAAACUUACAGUGGAUGAAUGAAUGAACAACAACCUGAAGGAAGCUUCUACUAUCCCCACCCACCCCCCACCACACACACACACACACACACACACACACACACACAGAGUUUAUUCUUCGAACUGGAAUUUGUAAAGACAGCUUGGUUUCCCAGAUGCAUCCAACUCAUCAGGUACUACAAAUUCUGUAACCAGGCCCCAAUUUAGGGAUACUACAACUAUGCAUCAUGUAAUCAUGUAGGUCCUCCAGUGAUACUCAUCUUGCUCAUUUGGCCAUGGAUAAAGGAGAAAAGAGAGAGAAGUUCCCUUUCAGCACCCUAACACAUCUCUUAAUACAGCCUCUAAGUCUUUGAGUCCUCCAGGAGCCAGCAGCCAAGUCCAAACUAAAAGCAUCACAUGUUGUUUUGGAGAAAGAAGCCAGGGUGUCCACAGUAAUAUAAAUACAGAGACAGAUAGGACGAGCAGGCCCUAUGGAGAGAGGCCAAGCCUGAGAAAGUCAAAGGGCUUUGAGCUCUGAAUUAUGCUCUGUCAAAGAAAAAAAAAAGUAGAAGAUAAAAGAGAAAGAAUAAACAAACUUCUUCAUUUUUACUUUUCACAAAAAAGUCUCUUCUGGAAGCAGCAAAUAAAAUCUUCCCAACUCACUGGGUGCUGAGUAGAGUGUUAAGACACUAGCCCUUGAAGGAAGAAUGAAUAAGCAAUUCAAAGUGGGCUUUUCUGCCCUAGGCUAAAUCUGAAAUCAUCCAUUUUGCCAGCAGUAUUCUGUCUGCCAACCUACCUGCAAAGAAAGGGGCCAUUUAAAACUUCACAUCCACCCGAGAUGGCUGUUGUACAAAACACACACUCACAGGCUCCCCUCAAAGCCUAGUAAGGAAGAAGGAAGAAGGAAAAAGCAAAGGAAAUAUCUGGCAGCUCCUAGACUUUAGGAAUUCCACAAACAAAGCCAUUGCCAACAUCUAUUUGACAGGAUGUAUAGAGAGUUCAUAAAGUAAGUGUUUAUAGAAAUUCCAAAAUGUUUAAAACUAUCUCUUGAUUUUUGAAGGUCACUGUAAUCUAGUCUAUUGGAGAAUGCUAUUGUAGAGUCUUUGGCUAUUGUUACUUAUACCUGCAUAUAUGAAAUCACCACUCCUAAAAACCACGAAUUAGAAGGCUGAUUUGUUUAAAGAAAUACUGUUGUCCAUGAUGGAAGAAGGAUGCUAACUCACAGAGAGAAUGAUGCUGCCUGUGGAACAGAGUCGGAGCUGGCUUUUAUGGAACCUAUUGUCACUUUGAUUAUACACUGUCUAGGACAGGACUGAGGCCCACAUAAUACCAAGCAUACCACAAAUACAAAAAGUGGCAUAGAGGGAAAAAGAGGUCAAAUUAAACAUCAAGGUAGCUAAAAGGAAAAUUGUGUCCGCUGCUCUAAUAUCACAAUCCCAAGGAGAACUGCAGACAUUUGUCCUCGAGUUCCUCAGGUUGCCAGUAAUGAUGUUUCUGGUGAUCUGGCUCAGAAGGCUGAGCUGAUGAGUGAUCACUCAGAAAUACUGAAUCAGGCAAUGGAAAUUCUGAAUCGGUGGGCUCUGGAGAAGGAACUGAGGGCGAGGUGACUCGGGGCCGGAGGGCUAUUAUGGACUAUGGACAAGCUGAAGGCAUGGGAAGCCUGACCAGUAGAUAGAGGAAUAUGAACUUGGUGGACAGGGAAAAGCAGGGACGUCAUGAACGAAAGACCACAGACCCUCUGUUCUAGUCCAUGGGGCCAGGCUGUGCUCCACUGCCUACUCUUGGAUUCCCCAAAGAAUGCUUUAUGUCCUUAUAAUAAAUCCACCUUUCCAUGGACAAAAAUGAGUGUGUCUCUGUGUCUUCAAACCUGAGAGCUAAAACCAAAAAACAUAACUUAUGAUGCUGUAGAAGAAACUUCUACCCCUUUGUACGCAUGGAGAUGUUUCCCAAAUCUACACAAUGAUAGAAAUAACUUGCUGCGUUAAAAAGUA
rnacentral:lncRNA from 1 species